rnacentral:tRNA from 1 species
AAGGGAGACCUAAUUCAGGUAGGAGACGAAAAAAAAGUAGUCCCGACCAAGAAUCAAUCCCAAAAGGUCGGAGCGAGGCGAAAUUGGCUUUCAAACUAGGUUCUGGGUUCACACAAGACCUGAAUCAGGAACAAGGGCUAUUAGCUCAGGUGGUUAGAGCGCACCCCUGAUAAGGGUGAGGUCCCUGGUUCGAGUCCAGGAUGGCCCACUUGCACAGGUGGCAAAAACAAGAGAAGCGAGGAAUCAGCACCUUAUCUUAUCUAUAUAUAUAUAGGAGAGAAUGCUGGCUCUGAGUAAAGAGUCCAGAGGAACCUUGAAAACUGCAUAGAGCUAGGUGAAAAAGCCAAAAAAGAAGACCGCAA